GAUACAAUAGGUAUAUUUUGGUUUUGAGCAGAUAGUCAUGAUGGUCAUAGUUGUAGUUUUUUCUCCCAUAACCUUGUGGUAACUUGUGGAAGGCUCCUAUCUUCCAGCUUGGCACAGCAAAGGAAAGUUCUGUGAAUUUCUACAUCACUGGAUCUUAUUGUCAAAUUACAUUCAGGACAGGAAAAUGAGAGAUGGUACUUUAUGGAAAAUUGCAUAACAAUUCUGAGAUGAACCAAGAGAGCAAUAUGUGGUGCAUUUUUGAUGAAGAAAUUUAGCAGCAAUGAAUACAUUAGGACUGAAGGAAACAUUGGAACAGUUGGCACUUUUUAAGGAAACUACAUUGGUCAAGAGCAAGAGAAAAUGAGGAUAGAAGACAUGGAACAAGCUAAUGGAGAAGGAAAACAUGAGUAUUGUUUUGGAGAAAAACAAUGCCAAGUAUAAAAAGAGAUAAAGAGUUGAAGUUGGUGUUGAAUAGAUAAUAUCAAUAUUUUUACAUUUUCAAUAGAUCUGCUUUAUUCAGCCCUGUGACAAUAAAAUGUUUUUCUGUUUUAUCAUCACAAA